UACGAAGGGGGCUAGCGUUGCUCGGAAUCACUGGGCGUAAAGCGCACGUAGGCGGGUCUUUAAGUCAGGGGUGAAAUCCUGGAGCUCAACUCCAGAACUGCCUUUGAUACUGAGGAUCUCGAGUCCGGGAGAGGUGAGUGGAACUCCGAGUGUAGAGGUGAAAAUUCGUAGAUAUUCGCAAGAACACCAGUGGCGAAGGCGGCUCACUGGCCCGAUACUGACGCUGAGGUGCGAAAGCGUGGGGAGCAAACAGGG
rnacentral:rRNA from 1 species